rnacentral:rRNA from 1 species
UCGGAUUAUUGGGCGUAAAGAGCUCGUAGGCGGCUUGUCACGUCGGAUGUGAAAGCCCGGGGCUUAACCCCGGGUCUGCAUUCGAUACGGGCAGGCUAGAGUUCGGUAGGGGAGAUCGGAAUUCCUGGUGUAGCGGUGAAAUGCGCAGAUAUCAGGAGGAACACCGGUGGCGAAGGCGGAUCUCUGGGCCGAUACUGACGCUGAGGAGCGAAAGCGUGGGGAGCGAACAGGAUUAGAUACCCUGGUAGUCCACGCCGUAAACGUUGGGAACUAGGUGUGGGCGACAUUCCACGUCGUCCGUGCCGCAGCUAACGCAUUAAGUUCCCCGCCUGGGGAGUACGGCCGCAAGGCUAAAACUCA